rnacentral:tRNA from 1 species
GGCACUGUAGCGCAGUAGGUUAACGCCCUGGCCUGAAGUGCCGGCAUCCCAUAUGGGCUCCAGGUUCUACUCCUGGCUGCUCCA